UCGAACGAAACACUUCUGGCUUUAUGCUGCUGUGCUGGCUGUUUGGGCAAUGUGCACGUAGCUCUGGUCGGUUGUUUCUUCUGUUCCACCUGUGCACUGCCUGUAGACACUCAGUGUCUAUGAUAUUUGUUACACACACAUUGAUGUUAGUUGGCAUGUUGACAUAUAUAUAAUAAAUAUA
rnacentral:misc_RNA from 1 species